UUACGGCAAUAUCACGUUGAAACACCAGUUCUCGUACGACUACCGAAGUAAAGCAACGUCGGGCCUGGUCAGUACCUAGAUGGGUGACUAUUUGGGAAUAUCAGUUAUUGUAAG